AUCACUUGUCUUUUAAAUGAAGACCUGUAUGAAUGGCAUCACGAGGGCUUAGCUGUCUCCUUUUUCAAGUCAAUGAAAUUGAUCUACCCGUGCAGAAGCGGAUAUAAUAACAUAAGACGAGAAGACCCUGUGGAGCUUUAGACACCCGGCAGACCCUGUUAAACAACUGGAUUAUCAGAUUCAAACAAAGCGGCUCCUGAUCCCUAUGUCUUCGGUUGGGGCGACCACGGGGGAAAACAAAGCCCCCAUGAGGAUAAAAGGUAUUACCUUCAUAACUAAGAGCCACAGCUCUAAGUAUUAGAACUUCUAACCAAAAGAUCCGACACCAGUCGAUCAACGAACCAAGUUACCCCAGGGAUAACAGCGCAAUC
rnacentral:rRNA from 1 species